GAUCCACAACGUGAAUCUCCCCACUUUGAUUUGGAGUUUUCUUUUGUCUCCCUAUUUGGAAGCCUCCAACCUCUUUGAUCCCCAGAGAUCCGACAGGAAUCUCCAGGCAUCAUCUCGCAGCCCGAGUGCUUAUUGAUCACCCUGUUGUGCACUCGCUCUCUCGCUCUCUCUCUCUCUCUCUCUCUCUCUCACCCAAAGGUCGGAUCAUGCAAAGAGUCCUCCGAGCGGAGGCUGCAACACUUUACAGGAACUCACAACAGCAUGCGCCCUCCAUGACGAGACAGGCCGGAGUGAGUAGACAAGCUUCCAACAUUCUUGCCUUCCUGUCUAAACAAACGCGUCCGCAAAGACGGCUAAGCGGCGGUGAGAAGUGAGGCCGAGGGUUGCCUAAAGGGUUCUUUCGAAUGGCAGCCGGGUCUCUUUCCCCGUCAACCCCACACCCGCCCACCAGGCUGUGUGCAGAGGUGCUUUUGUCCCGCUGCCUUUGCUGUGUUCAACUAAUUACCGAAGGUGUGACCGCUCCACAGACAGCCGACCCCCUGCACACGCACGAUAACGUACACACACACACACACACACACACUUUUGAACAAGAGGAAUGGUGGCUGCAUAAAGAGAGAGUCUGCUUUUUUGUUCCAAAUAAACAUGCAUUUGUUCUCCAGGAUAAAAGAAUCCAGACAUGUCAACAGCCAUUAAGGUUGGAAACAGGAGAAUGACGGCUCCAGAGAGACGAGCAGAAACUCGAUCCGGGCUGGGACUGCUGCACUGCCGCUAUACACAGAGCCAAUGUCAGGCAGGCGUGGGCCCAACACAAAGAAUAAUAAGAAAACAGAUAUAGAUAUACAUAAAAGCUUGUGUUAAUGGUGUUCAUAGCACAGUGUGAGGUGCGAGGGAUCAAGAGAGGCUGCGGUGUCACGCUUACCUAUGCGGGCAGCGGAGGUCAGAGCGAUUAUCAGCAGCAGCAGUGGCCGGAAACGGCGCACCAGAGACGGGGAGGCGAGGCGCUCAGCCCCGCUGCAACAGC